rnacentral:rRNA from 1 species
UAACAGGUUAAGCUGACGAGUGGCGAACGGGUGAGUAAUGUAUCGGAACGUGCCCAGUACUGGGGGAUAGCCCGGCGAAAGCCGGAUUAAUACCGCAUACGACCUACGGGUGAAAGAGGGGGAUCGCAAGACCUCUCGCUAUUGGAGCGGCCGAUAUCAGAUUAGGUAGUUGGUGGGGUAAAGGCCCACCAAGCCGACGAUCUGUAGCUGGUCUGAGAGGACGACCAGCCACACUGGGACUGAGACACGGCCCAGACUCCUACGGGAGGCAGCAGUGGGGAAUUUUGGACAAUGGGCGCAAGCCUGAUCCAGCCAUGCCGCGUGCGGGAAGAAGGCCUUCGGGUUGUAAACCGCUUUUGUCAGGGAAGAAAUCCUUUGGGCUAAUACCCCGGGGGGAUGACGGUACCUGAAGAAUAAGCACCGGCUAACUACGUGCCAGCAGCCGCGGUAAUACGUAGGGUGCAAGCGUUAAUCGGAAUUACUGGGCGUAAAGCGUGCGCAGGCGGUUCUAUAAGACAGAUGUGAAAUCCCCGGGCUCAACCUGGGAACUGCAUUUGUGACUGU